UACAGAGGUCCCGAGCGUUGUUCGGAUUCAUUGGGCGUAAAGGGUGCGUAGGCGGCGCGGUAAGUCGGGUGUGAAAUCUUGGAGCUUAACUCCGAAACUGCAUUCGAUACUGCCGUGCUUGAGGACUGGAGAGGAGACUGGAAUUUACGGUGUAGCGGUGAAAUGCGUAGAGAUCGGGAGGAACACCGGUGGCGAAGGCGGGUCUCUGGGCAAUUCCUGACGCUGAGGCGCGAAAGCGUGGGGAGCAAACAGG
rnacentral:rRNA from 1 species